GGCGCUGUGGCUUAGUUGGUUAAAGCGCCUGUCUAGUAAAUAGGAGAUCCUGGGUUCGAAUCCUAGCAGUGCCU
rnacentral:tRNA from 1 species